GGAGGGCCAGGCAGCCGUGGCAGCUCUAAGGUCUCCCAGAGUGAAAGAUGGAUCCAUCGAGAUCUUCCCUCCAGAGGAUGGUUCUCCCAGUCUGCUCCGUCCAGUAGGGGCAGGGCACGACAAGCCAGCUGAGGACAUCCUUACCCAGGGGGACGCUGUGGCCCAGGACCCUGCCACCACCAAAGUCCCCAUCAGCCUGGUGUUGAGGUUG